CCACUCUGAAUUAAAAUGGCUGACGAAGACGUGGCUGCUUUGGUUGUGGACAAUGGCUCUGGUAUGUGCAAGGCCGGUUUUGCAGGGGACGAUGCUCCUCGUGUAGUGUUUCCCUGCAUCGUCGGUCGUCCAAGGCACAAUGGUGUGAUGGUUGGUAUGGGUCAGAAAGACUCGUAUGUCGGCGAUGAAGCUCAGAGCAAGUGAGGUAUUCUGACUCUGAGAUAUCCCAUGGAAUUUGGCAUUGUAACCAAUUGGGAUGACAUGGAAAAGAUCUGGCAUCACAUCUUCUACAACGAGCUACGUGUAGCGCCCGAGGAACACCCAGUUCUGCUGACAGAGGCUCCGCUAAAUCCAAAAUCCAACAGAGAAAAGAUGACACAGAUAAUGUUCGAGACGUUCAACUCCCCAGCCACGUAUGUAGCUAUCCAGGCCGUGUUGUCUCUCUACGCCUCUGGUCGAACAACCGGUAUCGUCUUUGACAGCGGUGAUGGUGUCAGUCACACAGUUCCCAUCUACGAAGGCUACGCUCUUCCCCAUGCCAUCAUUCGUCUUGAUUUGGCCGGCAGGGACUUGACCGACUACCUGAUGAAGAUUCUUACGGAGCGUGGUUACCCAUUCGAGACGACAGCUGAGCGCGAAAUCGUGCGUGACAUCAAAGAGAAGCUCUGUUAUGUUGCUCUGGAUUUCGAACAAGAAAUGCAGACUGCUGCCUCCAGCUCCAGCUUGGAGAAGAGUUACGAGCUUCCUAACGGCCAGGCUAUCACUGUUGGCAACGAACGAUUCCGUGGACCAGAAGUCAUGUUCCAACCCGCUUUCUUUGGAAUAGAAUCCCACGGCAGCCAUGAGGCCACAUACAAUUCCAUCAUGAAGUGUGAUGUGGAUAUCCGUAAGGACUUGUACGCCAACAUAGUGUUGACUGGUGGCUCCACCAUGUUCCCAGGAAUCGCUGACAGAAUGCAGAAGGAAAUCUCUGCUCUGGCUCCACCCACAAUGAAGAUCAAGGUUAUUGCUCCUCCUGAGCGUAAACACUCUGUGUGGAUCGGAGGGUCGAUUUUGGCGUCACUGUCCACCUCCCAACAGAUGUGGAUUUCCAAGCAACAAUAUGAUGAAUCUGGUCCCUCCAUCGUUCACCGAAAAUGCGUCGAGGAGUUCUGCAGUUCAAAAGAACUGCAGACGUUUACCAAACAGGGAAAGAAACACGACAGAAAUCUCCGUCAUUUGCUCAGUAAGAGGUCUCCUGUUAAUCCAGGCUCAUCUCUGAAAGAUAAAUGGGUCAUGAACCUUUCCUCCAAGGAGUUAUCCGCGCUGGAACGGAGUAGUUUAGAGAAGGGUCUGAAGUUUGCUAUUGCUCCUCGCAAAAUACCGACUGCCGAAAUUGUCGCCGCUGUUGAGGAGAGUAUCUCUCAACUCAACGACGACCGUAGGCAUUUGGUAAGAGCAGAAGUAAGUAGCAUACUCAGGCGUGCUAAACCUCCUCCCAAAAACAUUCAAAAGGAUGUUUUCAAUGCGCUUAUAGCUCUCAAAAAGGAUCCGGACAGGCUCGUAUUAUCUGCUGACAAGGGUAAUUGUGUUGUGGUUACGGACAAACAGCAGUAUCACGACAAAGCUUUGUCUCUGCUUAAUGACAAGAGUACAUAUGCUGUCUUAAACUCUGAUCCUACCAGUAAAACCGUCUCAAAGAAAGUUAAACAAAAGCGUGGCUACUCGUUCACCACCACAGCUGAGCGCGAGAUUGUGCGUGACAUCAAAGAGAAGCUCUGCUAUGUUGCCAUGGAUUUUGAUCAAGAAAUGCAGACUGCUGCCUCAACCUCCAGCUUGGAAAAGAGCUAUGAGCUUCCUGAUGGCCAGGUUAUCACUGUUGGCAACGAGCGAUUCCGUGGACCUGAAGCCUUGUUCCAACCCUCCUUCCUUGGAAUGGAAUCCGCGGGCAUCCAUGAGACCACAUACAAUUCCAUCAUGAAGUGUGAUGUCGAUAUCCGUAAGGAUUUGUACGCCAACACAGUGUUGUCUGGUGGCUCCACCAUGUUUCCAGGAAUCGCUGACAGAAUGCAGAAGGAAAUCACUGCUCUGGCUCCACCCACAAUGAAGAUCAAGAUUAUUGCUCCUCCUGAGCGUAAAUACUCUGUGUGGAUCGGAGGGUCGAUCUUGGCGUCACUGUCCACCUUCCAACAGAUGUGGAUUUCCAAGCAAGAAUAUGAUGAAUCUGGUCCCUCCAUUGUUCACCGCAAGUGCUUCUAAGAAGUAUUUGGGAAUCUCACUGCACCAAAUCUGUGAAAAGAUGGGAUCAGGAGCGCACUAAUGGCUCCUGACGGGAGACAUUCUUUCCUUCACAGUUCAUUUGUAAUUUCCUUGAAUUUGAGCAGUUGUUUGUCAUAAAACAAAAAAUUAAAUUCCUCUUUUCUUAUGAG